rnacentral:misc_RNA from 1 species
CGCUCUUAGUGUGGUGAUGGCAGCCUCUCGGUCAGGACUCGUCAUGGCACCACCAACGAUAAAGUCAACGGUGUUUUUACCGGUUGUCAUUCGCUUUUCUUCGCAGUUUUUCCGCGCUCCGGAAUAAAUUUUCGGCCGUUAGUAAUAAACGUUAGUUAUAAACGCAUUCGUUAACGAUCUUGCCGGUUUUCCGGUCGCAAAUCCCGAUAGCACACUCUAGAUAUACUCUUGUUCACACACAUGCAAACCUACAGGAUGAUUAUCUUGAUUGCAAUGAUACUACUCACCACAAAGGACGCUGUGGAGAGUUUCGAUUCGCACCUUCGCGGUCCAUCGUUUAUCAUGGAACCGCCGACACGUCUCGAAUUCUCCAACUCGUCCGGAGGCUGGCUAGAUUGUUCGGCUUCCGGCAGCCCACAGCCUUCGAUUGACUGGCUGUCGGUGGACGGCACUUCCGUCGGAGACGUUUCCGGCAUCCGCAGGGUGCUUCGGAACGGCACCUUGGUGUUACUUCCGUUCGCGGCCGCCGCAUACCGUCAAGACAUUCACAGCACCGUUUACCGCUGCGUCGCUUCCAACUCCGUUGGCAGGAUAAUCAGUCGUGAUGUCCAAGUUAGAGCCGUGGUGACUCAGGCAUACAAAGUAGAAGUGGAGGCUCUUGGAGCAGCAAGGGGUUGUACAGCAUUGCUGAAGUGUGUGGUGCCAUCGUUCGUAAAAGAGUUCGUACGGGUUGUAUCUUGGAUACAGGAACCAUCAUUCUAUAUCUACCCUUCGCUACAGGGAGAUGGAAAGUUUCAUCAACUGCCCUCCGGAGAUUUACUUAUUCAUAAUCUGGAGUUCAGCGAUCAAUUCGCAAUGUACCGCUGCAGAACGAUGCACAGGCUUAGUAGGCAAUAUACCGUCAGUGGACCUGCCAAUGUAAGAAUUACAGAGCACAGAGGCAUUGUGGCACCGGUGAUAGUCGAAAGCUCUGGAACGAUAACCGUCGCUCAAGAUGAGGGCGCCGCUUUGUUAUGUGUCGCACAAGGAUGCCCUGCGCCUGAAUACCGGUGGUACUCUCACACUGGUUUAGAACCUAGCCUAGUAAUGUCAGGUCCUCGAACACGUCAACUUGGUCCCGUUUUGGCUAUAGAAGCAGUAACCCCCGAAGAUAGUGGAUCUUAUCGGUGCAAAGCUUCAAAUGCAGGCGGUGAAGCGAGUGUGGAACUCAGAUUGAUUGUGUCUACUCCUCUACAUGUUGAAGUGACUCCACCGAUGCUCAGUAUUCACAUGGGAGGUAGUGCGGAAUUCCGGUGUUCCGUGUCGUCUCACAGUGGAGGUCCACAUUUGGUAACCUGGUAUAAAGAUGGUAGACAACUACCUAGUACUGGUAGAGGCUCUAGUGACACCUUGGUCAUUAAUAACAUCGGGAGAGAGGAUCGCGGAAUGUACCAGUGUGUUGUCAGAAGGGCUGAGGGCGACACCGCUCAAGCUGCUGCAGAAUUACAGUUAGGAGAUGCGCCACCUGUGUUACUAUACAGCUUUAUAGAACAAACACUCCAACCGGGACCUGCUGUUUCGCUUAAGUGUAGUGCUGCUGGGAAUCCAACUCCCCAAAUCUCUUGGACACUCGACGGAUUUCCAUUACCUAGCAAUGGCAGAUUUGUCAUUGGCCAAUACGUUACAGUUCACGGUGACGUCAUUAGCCAUGUUAACAUUAGCCAUGUAAUGAUCGAGGAUGGCGGCGAAUAUACUUGCACAGCUGAAAACAGAGCAGGAAAAACAUCACAUUCGGCAAGAUUGAAUGUUUACGGGAUGCCUUACAUUAGAUUGAUACCGAAGGUGACGGCAGUGGCUGGCGAAACACUUCAGCUGAAGUGUCCCGUUGCUGGAUAUCCAAUAGAAGAAAUUCACUGGGAGAGAGGCGGACGAGAACUUCCAGACGAUUUGCGACAAAAAGUUUUAGAAGACGGUACGCUCGUUAUCAGUCCGGUGGAAAAGAAAGCUGACUCUGGCGUAUAUACUUGUUGGGCUCGAAACAAGCAGGGACAUAGCGCAAGGAGAAGCGGAGAAGUCACAGUAAUAGUUCCUCCUAUUAUUGAGCCCUUUUCCUUCCAAGACGGGCUGUCGGAAGGCAUGCGAACUCGCACCGUCUGCGGCGUGAGUUCCGGGGAUCCACCACUCGUGGUCUCCUGGCUCAAGGACGGGCAGCCGCUGACACCCGCGCUGGCCGUAAACGUUUCGGCUCUUGACCCCUAUUCUAGUCUCCUCAGCAUUUCUAGUUUAGACUCGAGACAUUCUGGCGAUUUCACGUGCGUGGCCAGCAACCCAGCCGCCGAGGUCAGGUACACCGCCAAACUCCAGGUUAAAGUUCCGCCGAGGUGGCUGGUCGAACCUGCUGACGUGAGCGUUGAAAGGAAUCACAACAUCGCGUUACACUGUCAAGCGCAGGGCGUGCCCACACCCACUGUUACAUGGAAAAAAGCCACAGGUAGUAAGUCAGGAGACUACGAGGAAAUAAGAGACCAAAUUCACACCAAACUACUGGGAAAUGGGACCCUUUUGCUUCAACACGUGAAAGAAGACAGGGAAGGAUUCUACUUAUGCCAAGCAGAAAAUGGUAUCGGCACUGGCAUUGGGAAAGUCAUUCAACUACGAGUAAAUUCGUCCCCGUACUUUUCCCAGCCGUCUCGACUAAUAACUGUCAAAAAAGGGGACACGGCGACGUUACACUGCGACGUGAACGGCGAUAAACCCAUUAGCGUAAUUUGGUUAAAAGGCGGCAAGAGCGAAUUAAAUCCAUCGAACAACUACCGUGUGCACGUAAAACAGGACGGAACGCCCGAUGGCGUUGUGGCACAGCUUCAAAUCGCCAAUGCUGAAGCUUCGGACAGCGGCUCGUACUUCUGCCAAGCAAGCAACAUGUAUGGAAGAGACCAGCAAUUGGUACAGCUAUUAGUUCAAGAGCCUCCUCUUAGUCCUCAACAUCUGGAGGCAGCGAUGACCACCAGUCGAUCGGUCAAUCUGAAGUGGCAGCACAGAUCCGGAGAUUCGAAUGAAGUCUUCAAAUUUAUUGUGGAAUAUCGUGAAGUUGAUAGACCCUGGCAUCAUAUUGAAAUAUCAGAUAAUCCGCUACAAUAUGCUGCCCUUAUCGAAAAUCUAAAGCCUGCAACUCGUUACAUUUUUCGAGUAAUCGCAGAAGGUCCAGCAGGAAGAAGUAAACCGAGCGUUGAGCUAGUUAUAAGAACGGAAUCGCAAAGACCAGCAGGUCCUCCGUUAAACCUCGCUGUCCGACCCAUUUCAUCCACGGAAUUACUAAUCACUUGGAAUCCUCCCAUCAGCGAACUUCGGCAUGGAGAUAUUCAGGGAUAUAAUGUCGGUUUCAGAUCUCCAAAGAUGCAAGCGUAUAAUUACACCACAGUUUCGGGAGACGGUGAAGAUGGCACUGGAGAAUUGUUACUUGGUGGACUGUCUAAAUAUACCAAUUAUGCUAUUGUGGUACAAGCAUUUAAUGAAGUCGGACCUGGUCCGCUUACUGAACCAGCUUCAUCGCAGACCAUGGAAGAUGUUCCUAGUGCUCCUCCGGAAGAUGUCCGAUGUGCUGCUCUUACAUCUCAAUCUCUCCAAAUUAGUUGGCAACCACCACCAAUCGAACAUUGUAACGGUUUGUUAGAAGGGUACAAGUUAACCUACGAACCAGUAGUUGAUGAUAACUGGAGAGGUACUUUUAGGAACGGACGAUAUAGAGACCAGAAAAACUACAGCACUCACUACAGUCAUAACAGGUCUCAGGAAGUUCACGAACUACAGUCUACAAGUUCUAGCGUUUACUAAAGUGGGAGAUGGUGUUUCAACUGAGACAUUUUAUUGCAAAACCGAAGAAGAUGUGCCUGGUCCUCCGAUCGAUAUCAAAGUGAUAGUCAGUUCUCCGCAAGCGCUUCUGAUAUCCUGGUUACCUCCUCAAGAGCCAAAUGGAAUUA